rnacentral:rRNA from 1 species
GACGAACGCUGGCGGCGUGCUUAACACAUGCAAGUCGAACGGAAAGGCCCUGCUUUUGUGGGGUGCUCGAGUGGCGAACGGGUGGGUAACACGUGAGUAACCUGCCCUUGACUUUGGGAUAACUUCAGGAAACUGGGGCUAAUACCGGAUAGGAGCUCCUGCUGCAUGGUGGGGGUUGGAAAGUUUCGGCGGUUGGGGAUGGACUCGCGGCUUAUCAGCUUGUUGGUGGGGUAGUGGCUUACCAAGGCUUUGACGGGUAGCCGGCCUGAGAGGGUGACCGGCCACAUGGGGACUGAGAUACGGCCCAGACUCCUACGGGAGGCAGCAGUGGGGAAUAUUGCACAAUGGGCGGAAGCCUGAUGCAGCAACGCCGCGUGCGGGAUGACGGCCUGCGGGUUGUAAACCGCUUUCGCCUGUGACGAAGCGUGAGUGACGGUAAUGGGUAAAGAAGCACCGGCUAACUACGUG